UACGGGGGGGGUAAGCGUUGUCCGGAAUUAUUGGGCGUAAAGGGCUCGUAGGCGGUUUGUCGCGUCGGGAGUGAAAUCAUCUGGCUUAACUGGGUGCUUGCUUUCGAUACGGGCAGACUAGAGGUAUGCAGGGGAGAACGGAAUUCCUGGUGUAGCGGUGAAAUGCGCAGAUAUCAGGAGGAACACCGGUGGCGAAGGCGGUUCUCUGGGCAUGAUCUGACGCUGAGGAGCGAAAGUGUGGGGAGCGAACAGG
rnacentral:rRNA from 1 species